AGAGUUUGAUCAUGGCUCAGAGUGAACGCUGGCGGCGUGCUUAACACAUGCAAGUCGAACGAGAACGGUACUAGCUUGCUAGUAUGUCAGCUAAGUGGCGGACGGGUGAGUAAUAUAUAGUUAAUUUGCCCCUUAGAGAGGGAUAACAGUUAGAAAUGACUGCUAAUACCUCAUACUCCUUCUACCUUAAUGAUAGUUGGGAAAUGUUUUUUCGCUAAGGGAUGAGACUAUAUGGUAUCAGGUAGUUGGUAGGGUAAGAGCCUACCAAGCCUAUGACGCCUAGCUGGUCUGAGAGGAUGAUCAGCCACACUGGAACUGAGACACGGUCCAGACUCCUACGGGAGGCAGCAGUGGGGAAUAUUGCACAAUGGAGGAAACUCUGAUGCAGCAACGCCGCGUGGAGGAUGACGCAUUUCGGUGUGUAAACUCCUUUUAUAUGGGAAGAUAA
rnacentral:rRNA from 1 species